GCUCAGUGGUAGAGCACUCGUCUAGCACAUGGGAGGUCCUGGGUUCGAUCCUCAG
rnacentral:tRNA from 1 species